rnacentral:lncRNA from 1 species
UUUGCCUUCUCUUCUCAUCUUCAAUAACCUUCGACGCUCUGAACAGCUUAUCCUUAGUGAUGUCGUGCUCCCGGUUGGAUGAUGCUAAGGCCUGACUAAUCUUCCCAUAGUAGGCUGUAUCCAUCUCAAAGCGUUUGGCUUCCAAGGCAUGUCGCUUGUCUUGAUCUUCCAUCUUCAUUUUGAUCUCCUGAUUAGCUGCCUGAAAAUGAGCAACACUUCUCUCCAACUCAGCUUUCCCUGUAAGUAACUGAUCUCUGGCCCUCUUCAUCUCGAGGAAUUCCUCCAUGCCGACGGAAGAACUUGGACCCUCAAUCAUAGGACACCCCAAAUCACCUCCAGGAAAUGGUAGAAAUGUAACCUCAAUCCUCUUCCGCAACCAAUCUUCGAACAAAGGAAAAUGCCG